GACGAACCGUGCGAACGUUGUUCGGAAUCACUGGGCUUAAAGGGCGCGUAGGCGGACCUCCAAGUCCGGGGUGAAAUCUUUCGGCUUAACCGGAAAAGUGCCUUGGAUACUGGGGGUCUCGAGGGAGGCAGGGGCGGAUGGAACUUCCGGUGGAGCGGUGAAAUGCGUAGAUAUCUGGAGGAACACCGGUGGCGAAGGCGGCGUCCUGGACCAACACUGACACUGAUGAGCGAAAGCCAGGGGAGCAAACGGG
rnacentral:rRNA from 1 species